rnacentral:rRNA from 1 species
UACGGAAUAGCCUCGGGAAACUGAGAGUAAUACCGUAUAAGCCCUUCGGGGGAAAGAUUUAUCGGGAAGGGAUUGGCCCGCGUUAGAUUAGAUAGUUGGUGGGGUAAUGGCCUACCAAGUCUACGAUCUAUAGCUGGUUUUAGAGGAUGAUCAGCAACACUGGGACUGAGACACGGCCCAGACUCCUACGGGAGGCAGCAGUGGGGAAUCUUAGACAAUGGGCGCAAGCCUGAUCUAGCCAUGCCGCGUGUGUGAUGAAGGUCUUAGGAUCGUAAAGCACUUUCGCCAGGGAUGAUAAUGACAGUACCUGGUAAAGAAACCCCGGCUAACUCCGUGCCAGCAGCCGCGGUAAUACGGAGGGGGUUAGCGUUGUUCGGAAUUACUGGGCGUAAAGCGUACGUAGGCGGAUCAGAAAGUUAGGGGUGAAAUCCCGAGGCUCAACCUCGGAACUGCCUCUAAAACUCCUGGUCUUGAGUUCGAGAGAGGUGAGUGGAAUUCCAAGUGUAGAGGUGAAAUUCGUAGAUAUUUGGAGGAACACCAGUGGCGAAGGCGGCUCACUGGCUCGAUACUGACGCUGAGGUACGAAAGUGUGGGGAGCAAACAGGAUUAGAUACCCUGGUAGUCCACACCGUAAACGAUGAAUGCCAGUCGUCGGGCAGUAUACUGUUCGGUGACACACCUAACGGAUUAAGCAUUCC